CAAUAGCGUAUAUUAAAGUUGUUGCAGUUAAAAAGCUCGUAGUCGGAUUUUGGCAUCACGCCGAACUGUCUGCCGAUUGGUAAGUACGGUUUGGCGGGUGCUUCUUUCUUGAAGCCCGUUCCCUUCUUAACUGAAGGGUUCGUUGGUUCAGGUUCUUUUACUUUGAGAAAAUUAGAGUGUUCAAAGCAGGCCUAUGCUCUGAAUAGGUUAGCAUGGAUUAAUAGAAUAGGACUUUGGUUCUAUUUUGUUGGUUUCUAGGACCGAAGUAAUGAUUAAUAGGGACAGUUGGGGGCAUUCAUAUUCCAUUGUCAGAGGUGAAAUUCUUGGAUUAACGGAAGAUGAACUUCUGCGAAAGCAUCUGCCAAGGAUGUUUUCAUUGAC
rnacentral:rRNA from 1 species